UAGUUCGUUGGUUAUUUGGUCAGAUCC
rnacentral:piRNA from 1 species